rnacentral:lncRNA from 1 species
UUUUUUUCUACCACAAUAUGUAACUUAGAGAAAUGCUUGCACUUGUAUUUGUGUACAGAGGAAUAUUCAGAAAUGUUCUUUGCAGUAAUGUUUGUAAGAUCAAAAAACUAGCAAUAAUCUAAGUGACCAUCAGUAGUAGAAAAGGUAAAUUGUAUAUUUGCGUAGUGUAAUAGAAAUCAGGCUUCAAGUAAAUUAUGGCCACUUGAUACAUGAUUCUUAAACCAUAAUUUUAAGUUAACAAAAGGCAAAGCAAAGGAUAUGUGAUAUUCUUACCAUAUAAUUUAAAAACCUUCAAAAUAAUACUUUACAUACCUGGUAAUCCCAGCAAAUUGGGAGGCUGAAGCAAGAGGAUUGCAAAUUCAAGGCCAGCCCAGGCAACUUAGCAACAAGACCCUGUCUCAAAAUAAAUAUAUUUUUAAGAAGGGACUGGUUAUGUAGCUCAGUGGUAGAGCAUCCAUGGGUUCAAUCACCAGUACAAAAAUAAAUUUAAAAAAGAAAACAAUAUUUUAUCUUGUUUAUAGACAUAAAUUUAAGGCAAUAAUAUACAAACAUGAACAAAGGUACAAAUGUUAUAUCCAUGACAGUUAUCCAGGGUUGGGGUUGAGGCUAUAUAGACUUUGAAUAAAUUUAGCUAGAUGAGUGGAAUGUAUCUUAAGGAAUCCAAAUUCAGAAAAUAUUAAGAUUCAUUAAAACUGACUGUAGGUUACACUUUAAUUUUCUCUCUAUUGAGAGAUUUCAUGAUAAAAAUUUACACUAACUUCCUUACAUUCUAUAUGUAAUCAUCACCCUAAUACUAAAAUCAGAAAAG